GACGAACGCUGGCGGCGUGCCUAAUACAUGCGAGUAGAACGCACAGUUUAUACCGUAGCUUGCUACACCAUAGACUGUGAGUUGCGAACGGGUGAGUAACGCGUAGGUAACCUGCCUGGUAGCGGGGGAUAACUAUUGGAAACGAUAGCUAAUACCGCAUAAUAUUAAUUAUUGCAUGAUAAUUAAUUGAAAGGUGAAAUUGCACCACUACCAGAUGGACCUGCGUUGUAUUAGCUAGUAGGUGAGGUAACGGCUCACCUAGGCGACGAUACAUAGCCGACCUGAGAGGGUGAUCGGCCACACUGGGACUGAGACACGGCCCAGACUCCUACGGGAGGCAGCAGUAGGGAAUCUUCGGCAAUGGACGAAAGUCUGACCGAGCAACGCCGCGUGAGUGAAGAAGGUUUUCGGAUCGUAAAGCUCUGUUGUAAGAGAAGAACGGGUGUGAGAGUGGAAAGUUCACACUGUGACGGUAUCUUACCAGAAAGGGGCGGCUAACUACGUG
rnacentral:rRNA from 1 species